rnacentral:rRNA from 1 species
AUUGAACGCUGGCGGCAGGCCUAACACAUGCAAGUCGAACGAGUGGCGGACGGGUGAAUAAUAUCUGGGAAACUCCGUGAUGGGGGGAUAUAAAUACGGAACACUGUAUCUAAUACCGCAUACCCGCAUAUAUGCCCAGAUGGGAUUAGCUUGUGUGUGGGGUAACGGCUCACCAAGGCGACGACCUCUAGCUGGUCUGAGAGGAUGACCAGCCACACUGGAACUGAGACACGGCCCAGACUCCUACGGGAGGCAGCAGUGGGGAAUAUUGCACAAUGGGCGCAAGCCUGAUGCAGCCAUGCCGCGUGUAUGAAGAAGGCCUUCGGGUUGUAAAGUACUUUCAGCGGGGAGGCGUUACCCGCAGAAGAAGCACCGGCUAACUCCGUGCCAGCAGCCGCGGUAAUAC